AGCAAAUAAUCAAAACUUUUAACAACGGAUCUCUUGGUUCUGGCAUCGAUGAAGAACGCAGCACCUUUUUGUUUCCAA
rnacentral:rRNA from 1 species